UCAAAUAUGGUCUAGCGGUUAGGAUUUCUGGUUUUCACCCAGACCGCCCGGGUUCUACUCCCGGUAUGGGAA
rfam:Nematostella vectensis strain CH2 x CH6 NEMVEscaffold_279_Cont22157, whole genome shotgun sequence.